rnacentral:rRNA from 1 species
UCAGUCGACUCCUACGGGGAGGCAGCAGUGGGGGAAUAUUGCACAAUGGGCGCAAGCCUGAUGCAGCCAUGCCGCGUGUAUGAAGAAGCCUUCGGGUUGUAAAGUACUUUCAGCAGUGAGGAAGGUGGAUAUGUUAAUAGCAUAUUCAUUUGACGUUAGCUGCAGAAGAAGCACCGGCUAACUCCGUGCCAGCAGCCGCGGUAAUACGGAGGGUGCGAGCGUUAAUCGGAAUUACUGGGCGUAAAGCGCAUGCAGGUGGUUUGUUAAGUCAGAUGUGAAAGCCCGGGGCUCAACCUCGGAAUUGCAUUUGAAACUGGCAAACUAGAGUACUGUAGAGGGGGGUAGGAAUUUCAGGUGUAGCGGUGAAAUGCAUAGAGAUCUGAAGGAAUACCGGUGGCGAAGGCGGCCCCCUGGACAGAUACUGACACUCAGAUGCGAAAGCGUGGGGAGCAAACAGGAUUAGAUACCCUGGUAG